UUCAAGUUCUUACCAUGUCCUUUUGGAGCUGCUCUGAGGAAGGAUUUGUGAAAUCUCUGAAGCAGCAUUCCCCUAAAUCACUGUAGGAGCCAACUGAAGCUCUUGACAGGCUCUAAAAUAAGAAAAUGAUCAUCUGGUUGGUUUACUUCUUGGCCACAUUUUCAUAACAGUUUUCUCACUGAUCUAGCUGUGUGAUGGAACAACAAAACAACUCUUUUGCACAUUAUCAUUCCAACAUGAGUUGGGACUUUCAACUGUGCAACAUUUUGAAAGGGAAGCUCCUUGAAGUGGCUGUCUUUGGAGUCAGACCUCUGGUCCACCUAAUUCAGUAUUAUCCACUCUGACAAGCAGUAGCUCUCCAAGGUCCCCAUGCAGCAUUGUGCUACCUGAGAUCUUUAAACCAGAGCUGUAGAGUUUGAACCUUGGAGCCGAUGCAUGUGAAGCUUUUGCUCUUCCAUUGAUCCUGGCUCUUCCCUGUGCUUCAGACCAUGGUCUUAAUCUAAUGAACAUAUAUUUUAUAUUUGUCCUCUGAAAGGUUAAAUAUUUGUUCGAUUGAAUGAAGAUGCCAAUAUAUUUCAGACAAAAAGAUAUAUAAAAGGUCUUGUGCUGAGAUCUCAUGUUUGAGAAGAGAGAAUUACCUUUCUAAAAAGAAGCAUAGUUUUGUCCUUGUCAUCCUCUGUUAUCAACAUCACCUCCUGGCGAUGUACUAGUGAUGGAUUUGAGCAUCACUGACACAGAUAAUGAAGAGAUGGUUGUGAGUUUACCCCUUUUGACUUGAUAGCUUCUCAUACACAUAUGGGAAAGUAUUCAUUUGCUAUUUCAAUUACAUUUGUAAUUAAGUUGAUCAAAUACAAUCCAUAUAAAUUGCCUAAAUUGAAUUUGAUUGACUCUUCAGUUCCAUGGAGUCAAUAGGGACAUGUAGGCCAUAUUGAAUAGUGCUAGACUGAAUAUGUCAAAAUUGCUAACUUGAAAUUUAGAACAUUUAAGCAAAAAUUUAGAACAUUUAAGCAAAGUACUAACAUACUUUCCAGAAUAAUACACAGUAUAAUUCUUAAGUCUUGGAAUAUUUAUUUUUAUUUGUUUAGAUAGUUCAUGUGAUCUGAGCACCAUGUCAUAUUUUACCUUUUGGAUCUGUGAUAGUUAGUAAACCUGAAAUGGUACACCUUACAAUGUAAUGUGUUAAUGCAACCAGUUUUCUGCAGCUCCUUGCCAAGUAUACCCUGUGUGGUAAAAUAAACUUUGCAGCUAUAUAAUGUGUGAA